rnacentral:rRNA from 1 species
UACAGAGGGUGCAAGCGUUAAUCGGAUUUACUGGGCGUAAAGCGCGCGUAGGCGGCUAAUUAAGUCAAAUGUGAAAUCCCCGAGCUUAACUUGGGAAUUGCAUUCGAUACUGGUUAGCUAGAGUGUGGGAGAGGAUGGUAGAAUUCCAGGUGUAGCGGUGAAAUGCGUAGAGAUCUGGAGGAAUACCGAUGGCGAAGGCAGCCAUCUGGCCUAACACUGACGCUGAGGUG